AACGAACGCUGGCGGCAUGCCUAACACAUGCAAGUCGAACGAGACCUUCGGGUCUAGUGGCGCACGGGUGCGUAACACGUGGGAAUCUGCCCUUUGCUUCGGAAUAACAGUUAGAAAUGACUGCUAAUACCGGAUGAUGUCGAAAGACCAAAGAUUUAUCGGCAAAGGAUGAGCCCGCGUAGGAUUAGGUAGUUGGUGGGGUAAAGGCCUACCAAGCCGACGAUCCUUAGCUGGUCUGAGAGGAUGAUCAGCCACACUGGGACUGAGACACGGCCCAGACUCCUACGGGAAGCAGCAGUGGGGAAUAUUGGACAAUGGGCGAAAGCCUGAUCCAGCAAUGCCGCGUGAGUGAUGAAGGCCUUAGGGUUGUAAAGCUCUUUUACCAGGGAUGAUAAUGACAGUACCUGGGGAAUAAGCGCCGGCUAACUCCGUG
rnacentral:rRNA from 1 species